rnacentral:lncRNA from 1 species
AUUGAACUGGUCUUUAAGUUUUAGACUAUUCUAAGCUCUAGAGUCAUCCUCUUGUUGGCUUGAUAAUUUAUCCUCUUCUAAUUUACUAACCGCUAUAGUUGAUUGGCCCAAUUAUUUAAUUAAUUGGUUAGUAGUUUGCAUAAAAUUAUUGAGGAUAUUUUUAAUGUUUGAGGUUGAUUAUGCUAAGAUAUCUAGACUCUUUUCUAAUGUGUUGACUCCUUCCUCAAGAUCUAAAUCUGGUUGAUCAUUCAGUGUUUGGUUGGGCCAUAGAUAGGGUUGAUAAAAAUUAUGGGC